AGUGAACGCUGGCGGUAGGCCUAACACAUGCAAGUCGAACGGCAGCACAGUAAGAGCUUGCUCUUACGGGUGGCGAGUGGCGGACGGGUGAGGAAUACAUUGGAAUCUACUUUUUCGUGGGGGAUAACGUAGGGAAACUUACGCUAAUACCGCAUACGACCUACGGGUGAAAGCAGGGGAUCUUCGGACCUUGCGCGAUUGAAUGAGCCGAUGUCGUAUUAGCUAGUUGGCGGGGUAAAGGCCCACCAAGGCGACGAUCCGUAGCUGGUCUGAGAGGAUGAUCAGCCACACUGGAACUGAGACACGGUCCAGACUCCUACGGGAGGCAGCAGUGGGGAAUAUUGGACAAUGGGCGCAAGCCUGAUCCAGCCAUACCGCGUGGGUGAAGAAGGCCUUCGGGUUGUAAAGCCCUUUUGUUGGGAAAGAAAAGCAGCAGGUUAAUACCCCGCUGUUCUGACGGUACCCAAAGAAUAAGCACCGGCUAACUUCGUG
rnacentral:rRNA from 1 species